rnacentral:lncRNA from 1 species
AGUCAUCUGAGUGAGAAGAAGCACAGGAGCUGCUCUGUGGACACUUUCCCAGACAAAAUGGAUUGAAUUUGCCAGGAGAGGUAUUCACAGCAGUGUAUCCUCAGGACCUAAUUGCUGGUGUAUUUUCAGGAGACAGCUGAGUGAAGAGGCCAAGAGCUGCUGAAAAAUUUCCACUUAAAGGAAUACGGAAUAUCUGUUUUCCUCUUUCUGUCCCUGUAUAACAGUUGGUGGGAGAUCAUCUCUUCCAUAUUUUUUGUCUGCCAGAUGCCUUCUGACCAGGCCUUUGAGGCUUUCCUGUUUCCUUCAUCGUCAUCACUGGAUUCUGCAGAUCUUUUGGGCUAGCACUUAUUUCAGAUAACAGUAUAGUACCUGGCAUUCAGUGUUUGGUGUUCUCAGGAGGCAACAUCUCAAACUGGUUUUUGCUGUUCAUCUAACAUUUGUACAGAAGAUUGUCCUUGAAGAAGCAUGGCUAUUUGCAUGUCCAGGUGAAUGAUUUUUCCCUCACAUCCUAACAUUUGUGACAGAAGGAUUGCUUGACCAUCUCAUAUGUAUUGACUUAUCUGGAAGUCAAUGAGAGUUUUAGUAGGCAAGGAGAGAAAAUAUUUUUAAAAUAAU